UAGGAAGAUGCCUAUUCCC
rnacentral:miRNA from 1 species